UCAGUCUAUGAACAGUCAUGAAGGUGUCCC
rnacentral:piRNA from 1 species